GACGAACGCUGGCGGCGUGCUUAACACAUGCAAGUCGAACGGAAAGGCCCUGCUUUUGUGGGGUGCUCGAGUGGCGAACGGGUGAGUAACACGUGAGUAACCUGCCCUUGACUUUGGGGUAACUUCAAGAAACUGGGGAUAAUACCGGAUAGGAGCUCCUGCUGCAUGGUGGGGGUUGGAAAGUUUCGGCGGUUGGGGAUGGACGCGCGGCUUAUCAGCUUGUUGGUGGGGUAGUGGCUUACCAAGGCUUUGACGGGUAGCCGGCCUGAGAGGGUGACCGGCCACAUUGGGACUGAGAUACGGACCAGAGGCGUACGGGAGGCAGCAGUGGGGAAUAUUGCACAACGGGCGGGAGCCUGAUGCAGCAACGCCGCGUGCGUGAUGACGGCCUUCGGGUUGUAAACCGCUUUCGCCUGAGACGAAGCGUGAGUGGCGGUAAUGGGUAAAGAAGCACCGGCUAACUACGUG
rnacentral:rRNA from 1 species